rnacentral:misc_RNA from 1 species
GGGGAAUCUCCAUAAGAAAAUUCAAUAACACAAAAGGUAAGCACAAAUGAUUUAAAAGCAAAGAAAAAACAAUGUUGUAAAAAGAAACCAUGAACAACCCAGAAAGAGAAGAUAAAUGCCUCUUGAGUAGUAAAUACCAUAAACACUAGUAUUACAUACUAUUCUCUACUACAUUAAUAGAUAUUCCAGCCAUACCAGUUUGCACGCAAAGGGGAAAAAGGUAUGAAAUUAGUGUCAGUCAACAAAACUCACAGAUAAUAAUAACAAUAACAACAAAAGCAACUUAACAAGCACCUCAACACUAUUUAUAAAACAAACACCCAACGAAGUAUUAAUGCCUCACAACAAGAACGCUACAAAAUUC